UAUUAAAAACAUCACAAAUUUUUACAGUUAAAAACUAGUGUGGCUGACAGAUUAACCAUAUAGUAACAUGUGAUGUGCCACGUGUAUCUCAUGUUGACAUAUAGGGACCCCUUUUUACUAGUAGAAAUUGAUAGAGUUUUUAAUA
rfam:Gossypium raimondii Chr02_contig_1034, whole genome shotgun sequence.